rnacentral:ncRNA from 1 species
AUCUUCAGGGCGGAGUGAAAAUCUCCACCGGCGGUAAAGCCCGCGAGCAGCAGCAUGAUCCGGUGAAAUUCCGGGGCCGACAGUAUAGUCUGGAUGAAAGAAGAUG